UGUUAGUAUACAGAAAAUAUUUAACUUCUUAUCGAGGUUUUUGUCAGGAGUCCAGAUUAAUAUAAUAUUACAUAUAGUAUUUCUAUGUACAUACUGUAUAAACUGAUUUUCAAAGUGUCUGGUGGUCAAUUUGGAAGGCAAACUGGUACCAUUGGAAAAGAGACCAGUGGUGUAGUGAUGACUGAUAGAAUUGAGAAUCAUCAGACACAGUGAAUGUAUCAAAGACACAAUAACCUGAUCAGAAAUCAGAAAACAACCCAAAGUCUCCAAUGAGUCAUCAAUGUUGCUAAAAGAUUCCUCACCUGGAGCGGGGCUCCAGCUGGCCCCUAAAUGAUUAUUUGCUUAAUGUGGAGUUCAGAAAAUAUUACAUGCAUAUAUAGAUAAACUGUUAAUUAAGAAAUUAGUGAGAGGUUGUCCUUAAUGCAAAUUAUGCUACUGGGAGAGUAUUUCGAAAAGAACUUACAUUCUGAUAUCUCAAACAUAUACAUGUAUAUAUACUUAUAUGUAAGCCAAUUUUUCUAAAAGGUAAUAUAAUAAAAAAA